UACGUAGGGUGCGAGCGUUAAUCGGAAUUACUGGGCGUAAAGGGCGCGUAGGUGGCCUUUUGAGUCAGACGUGAAAUCCCCCGGCUUAACCUGGGAACUGCGUCUGAUACUGGAAGGCUUGAGUUCGGGAGAGGGAUGUGGAAUUCCAGGUGUAGCGGUGAAAUGCGUAGAUAUCUGGAGGAACACCGGUGGCGAAGGCGGCGUUCUGGACUGCUACUGACACUGAGGAACGAAAGCCAGGGGAGCAAACGGG
rnacentral:rRNA from 1 species